GAUGAACGCUGGCGGCGUGCCUAAUACAUGCAAGUCGAGCGAACAGACGAGGAGCUUGCUCCUCUGACGUUAGCGGCGGACGGGUGAGUAACACGUGGAUAACCUACCUAUAAGACUGGGAUAACUUCGGGAAACCGGAGAUAAUACCGGAUAAUAUAUUGAACCGCAUGGUUCAAUAGUGAAAGACGGUUUUGCUGUCACUUAGAGAUGGAUCCGCGCCGCAUUAGCUAGUUGGUAAGGUAACGGCUUACCAAGGCAACGAUGCGUAGCCGACCUGAGAGGGUGAUCGGCCACACUGGAACUGAGACACGGUCCAGACUCCUACGGGAGGCAGCAGUAGGGAAUCUUCCGCAAUGGGCGAAAGCCUGACGGAGCAACGCCGCGUGAGUGAUGAAGGUCUUCGGAUCGUAAAACUCUGUUAUUAGGGAAGAACAACUGUGUAAGUAACUAUGCACGUCUUGACGGUACCUACUCAGAAAGCCACGGCUAACUACGUG
rnacentral:rRNA from 1 species